AUUUCAGACCUGCGGUCACGGCACAAAGCCCAGAAAAUGGGACGGUGAAGGGUUCUUGCAUCCGAAAUUUCAGACGUUCUUAUACAUUCACUCCAUGGGAGAUGUGGCUGGUGCCGCA
rnacentral:lncRNA from 1 species